AUAAAGACACAAUUCCUUCUGGUUCUUCAUUUAUUAUUUUUUCUAUGGUACUCUGGUCUCUUGAUGUUGAGGUUUGAUUUGGUUAUGCUGGUUUCGAUCUUGGGGUUUGUUGUUCUUAUAUCAAUGAUCUGCUGCUAUGAAUGAUUUGUAUCGGCUGCCCUUCCAAUUCUCGUUUGAUUAUAUGUGUAGUUCUUUGAUAUAAUUUGUCAUUUGAUAAAUGAACUAUUAAAAAUAAAAGAAUAUUGAGAUAUUCGUUUAUCCAUUUUGCAGCGAGCUGAUCUCUGGAUAUAUGGAACAAUUUGCGAUUAUAAUGGUUAAGAUCGAUAAUGGCUACAGAUACAUAAUCAAAUUUCUAGGAUGUGUAAUUCUUUAUUUUUAUUUUUGGGCUUUUUUAUCUGAAUACUGACAGUCCAGAAGUUUACAUGAGGAAGUUGGUGGGCAUCUUGUUGUAAUGCUGAUUAUGCUACUAUUCUUUCUUCUUUGUUCUUUUUUUUUACUACCUAUUUUUCCUAGUGUAAUUUUUUUUCUGUAAAUGUAUCAUGUGCUAUUGGCAGAGUAAGUUUUACAUGGGUUUGGUGUACCACAGAAGUUUCCUUCUUUCUCAAUUUUCGCCAUCUGAAGUGGAGAAUAUUGGAGAUGAGUUUCUAUGCCGCUUUGUACUACUUACCUUCUGUGAACAAAUUAACAAGGACACAUGAACCAUAAUGUUCUGACGGACGUUUUAUAUAUUGGCUAGGCUUUACUUUGGCAAUUUGGUGAUGUCUACUCUGGUUAUGAAUUCUUUACAUUUCGGAAUAGUCGUUUCAGCAACUAUGCUUCUUGAUUCCUUUGUCAAAGCUUAGGGUGAGGUUAUCACAUACUCCACCUUUUAUCUUUGAGUGACUUAUUUUUUCCGGUGUUGAAGUUUUUUUUUUUGUGUGUUUCUGUAUCUGUUAACUUCAGUUUUACUCUGUGGUUUUGCAUACAAGCUUUUAGAGUAACACUUCCCUUCCCAAGAUGAGUUUUGGACAACUUGGUAGGUGCUGUUUGUUAUGAUGAUUUGUUUGUUGCGGAUCAAUUGACUACAGUGGCCCUAGGACUCCUCUGGUAUUAGGUUGAAGCUUAAAUUGUGACAUUUCGUAUGAUUACAAGAUAUUCCAAAUUGGACCGAAAUUUGUUCCAAUGAACUAUCCUGUUCUGCAGGCUGUGUUCAAUGCCUUGUUUGGUCAUCUCUACUAAUAAAGACUUCACAGUUCCGAGACUUGUUAAGAUAAAACCAGUAACUUGUUUUUGGCAAGCAAAGGUUAACAUACUAUCAUUCAAUUCAGUCUUGCGAUCAAACCAGUAAUUUUUUCACAUCUGUUCGUUUUGUGAUUGGGGAUGUUUGUCUUUUGAUGGUGUCUGCUAGUGUUGGUGUUUUUUGUUUUGUUUUUGUAUCAGCUGCAUGAACAUUGAUGCAGACAAGAUUCAAAGUAUAUCUCUUUGCCCUCACCAAGGAUGAGGAAUUCUGAACAGCUUGGUUAUGGCUUUCUCUUGUUCUGUUAAUUUAUUACUUUCCUUUGUUAUGAUUCUUUCACUAUUUUCUUGUCCCUUGUGACAUAUAAGAAUAAGACUAUGAAUUCUCACACAAAUGGGUUUUUGUCACAGUGAGGAAGCCUAAAUUAUUGUCAUUUCACAUGAAGCACCUAUCUGCAAUUAGAUGUAUUCGCAUUGUUACGUUGUAUGCUAAAUCAGUGGUGAUCUCCACUCUGACUAAGAAUUCUUCGCGUUUCUGUCUCUUGAGGAUCUAGUUUUUCUUAAUUUCCUAUAGUUUCAUGUAGGUGUCACAAGAAGGAUAUAGACAGCGAGAUGUGCAACAUUGUUACAGAGGAGAUAGCCUAUGAAUGUAAUGUGGGUAAAACUGGUCAUUUUUAUUUAAAUGUACUUUUUCUGGAUUUGAGUAAUUGUCAUUUGAUGGUGUUAUGUGGCAAUGCUCAUUUCAGUUUUUUAUCAGAAAUUUGAGUAUUAGGAGGGCUUAAAAAUUUAUGAUUGUGUAGUACAUCUGUCUUUUUCAAGAGGGGGAGUUGAAUAUAUAUGAUUCUGGGGUGUAUCUUUUAGCUUGGUUUAUGAUGUGAGUUUUGUGUCACUUUAAUCAUGAUCAUUGAGUUGGAUAAAUCUAAUUUCAUCAUUGAAUUGUUUUGUAUUUUUUUCUCAUGCUGUUUCAUUUGGCUUCCUGUUGAACAAUAAGGUUUAAUAUGGUGACAAGUACUCUUUGCUCGCGCCAAGGAUGAGGAAUUCUGGACAGCUUGGUUUUGACUCUCUUUUGUUCUGUUAAUUUACCACUUCCUUUGUUAUGAUUCUUUUACUAUUUUCUUGUCCAUUAUGACAUAUAAGAAUAAGAAUAUGAAUUCUCACCCAAAUGAGUUUUUGUCACAGUGAGGAAGCCUAAAUUAUAGUCAUUUAACAUGAAGCACCAAUCUGCAAUUAGAUGUAUUCGCAUUGUUGUAUGCUAAAUCAGUGGUGAUCCCCACUCUAACUAAGAACUCUUCGCGAUUCUGUCUCUUGAGGAUCUAGUUUUUCUCAAUUCCUUAAAGUUUCAUGUAGGUGUCACAAGAAGGAUAUCAACAGUGAGAUGUGCAACAUUGUUACCGAGGAGAUAGCCUAUGAAUGUAAUGUGGGUAAAACUGGUCAUUUUUAUUUAAAUGUACUUUUCUGGAUUUGAGUAAUUGUCAUUUGACGGCGUGAUGUGCUCAUUUCAGCUUGGUUAUGAUGUGAGUUUUGUGUCACUUUAAUCACGAUCUUUGAGUUGGAUAAAUCUAAUUUCAUCAUUGAAUUGUGUUGUAUUUUUUUUUCUUUCAUGCUGUUUCAUUUGGCUUCCUGUUGAACAAUAAGGUUUAAUAUGGUGACGAGUACUCUUUGCUCGCGCCAAGGAUGAGGAAUUCUCGACAGCUUGGUUUUGGCUCUCUUUUGUUCUGUUAAUUUACCACUUCCUUUGUUAUGAUUCUUUUACUAUUUUCUUGUCUUUUCUUUAUUUAUAUGAAUCUGUCAAAUGGGCAUCCGUCACAGUGGGAAAUCAUUUGGUGAUUUCUACUCCGAUUAUGAAGGAAUUCAUGUUUCUUUCUCUUGAAUCUAGUUUUCUUGAUUCCUUAAUUUCCCUGUGGUGUGGGUGCACAGGGAGGGUAUGGACUGUGAAAGCUGCUGCGAGAUUAUGAAGUUCUGCUUUUGGUUGUUACAGUGUAGAUAACCUAUGAAUGUAAUGUGGGAUAAAACUGGUCAUUUUUAUUUAAAUGUACUUUCUUAUGGAUUGGAAUGGUUGUUUUUUAAUGGUGUCAUGUGUUAAUGUUAUAAUUUUUGUGUGGUGUUUAUCAGAUUGGGAAAGCUAUAGAAUUUGUGAUUCUGUAGUAUAUGUGUUUUUCUAGAUGAGAAGCUGAAUAUAUAUGAUUCUGGUAUACAUCUCUUAGCUUGGUUAUUGUGUGAGUUUUAUGAUAUUCACGAUCAUUGGCUCUGGA
rnacentral:lncRNA from 1 species